rnacentral:rRNA from 1 species
UAGGGAAUCUUCGGCAAUGGGGGGAACCCUGACCGAGCAACGCCGCGUGAGUGAAGAAGGUUUUCGGAUCGUAAAGCUCUGUUGUUAAGGAAGAACGAGUGUGAGAAUGGAAAGUUCAUGCUGUGACGGUACUUAACCAGAAAGGGACGGUUAACUACGUGCCAGCAGCCGCGGUAAUACGUAGGUCCCGAGCGUUGUCCGGAUUUAUUGGGCGUAAAGCGAGCGCAGGCGGUUAGAAAAGUCUGAAGUGAAAGGCAGUGGCUCAACCAUUGUAGGCUUUGGAAACUGUUUAACUUGAGUGCAGAAGGAGAGAGUGGAAUUCCAUGUGUAGCGGUGAAAUGCGUAGAUAUAUGGAGGAACACCGGUGGCGAAAGCGGCUCUCUGGUCUGUAACUGACGCUGAGGCUCGAAAGCGUGGGGAGCGAACAGG